rnacentral:lncRNA from 1 species
AGAAAGAUCAUGGGUGAGCACAUGUGCUUGAAAUUCAGGUUCUCAGGCCCCAUUCCAGUUAUAAGAAAUGAGAAUCUCAGGUGUUCAGAACAGGGAAUCUUCCAUGUAGAAAGUCAUCCAGGUGAGGUAGGUGGAAGGACCAUUGAUCUGGGUGAGAGGAUGAUGCUCAGAGCAGUCACAAGUCUGAAGACGGAGAUAUAUGAGCCACUUGUCUUUUUAUUUGGGGCUUCUCUUCAUUUUUCUUUGAUCAUAGGAUCUCAGAUGGAGAAAUAGGAUUCUUGGAAUUCAAUUCUGACUCCAACUCAUAUCAGCUCUGGGCUGCUGUGACAUUCCAGGAGACUGCCCUUGCCCAAGUUCUUUAGCUGAGCCCGUCAUAGACCAUUCACUCCAAAGUAGUUCCUUUUCCUUUAGUCAUUCUGUUCACGCUACCUGUGUUUAUCACAUGAUUGUUAUGAUCAAGGAACAGUGCUCAAGAAGUAGACUCACCAAAAAGCAGGUAAAGCGUAGCCUUCAGAACCUCUCUCUUGCACAGGGCUCUUCCAAGGCUCUGGGAGGGGUCCUCACCAGGUGCACUCAUGGUUAUACGUCUUUGUAGUAUUUGCAAAAAUUAGAUACUUUUCUUUUUUCUUAACGAAAGUCCCCCCACUUGAUAGGCUUCAGCCACCACCCCAAACGUAGAUCUCCCCCUGCAAAGAGCUUACACCCAGUGGGUGGAUUAUUCAGAUACAAUGUCAUAGGUGCCAUAUGGACCCUCCUCUGGGCAUUCUGGGAAUGUACUUGUGAGGAAGGAGGGUGAUCGGGGAGGACUUCCUGGAGGAGGAGAUGUCUCUUGAGCAGAGUUACAAGAGUAAGAUAUAUCAUGUUGUGUGUGUGAGAGAGAGAGAAGGAGAAAGAGAGAAAGAAGAGAGAGAGAGAGAUUAAAGCCCUUUGCUGUUUGAGCGUGUUUCCUUUAGUUUGGGGGAGCCUCUGCUAAUAGGAUGGUGAAGCGAUUCCUCAUUUACAGGGAGUUAUAGGACUGUGGGCUAUGUCCCCAGAGCACACCUGACCCUCCAGAUCCUGGAGCCCAGCUGACCCUGCACUUGACUUUUAGGAGGUCUCUUGGUUGACUCCAUCAAUAAUUGUUCUUCAAGGAAAAGUAGCCCCUUUACCCCUCACUACUUUUCCCACUUCCCUACCUCCCUUAGUUACUGUCAGCCUUGCAAAUCAAUAUUUCAUUUUGAAGAGCCUUGUUUGAUGCCAGUUCUGCUUAUUUGCUUCGCAGCCACUGUGGGUAACGCUUUGUAGGUCUGUCAGUAUGUAAAUUAAACCAAGCAUAGAUAGCUUUGUGUUGCUUAAUGUUCAGCUGAUAAAAAUUAAUGUGGUGUGAAAUGAGCAUUUUAUCUGACUGCAGAUACAGUGACGGAGUUAAUUAGACAGGCAGAGGGAAAAUGUUAUUAAGCAGGAUGGGGGCUUUCUCCUGGAAUGGGACUGAGCGACCCUCUGAUGGCAGGUUUGGAUGGGCCAAGGGUGUGGCCAAGGCGCCUCGGCAGAGGCAGGCUUGGAGCAGUGAGGUAGGGAGGGGGCCCUCUUUGAGCAAUCAGCCCCACGGUGCUGAUGACUGUGUAGAUCCUGCCCUGGGAGGAGGGGAGGGAGGCACAGGCCAAGCGAGGCCAGCCACUUUCAGCUCACUGCAAAAUGCCUGCGUCAGCGUUUGCUGAGGUGGCGUCUUCUUCAUCACUGCGAUUGGUGGAGAAAGGAGUUUCAUACUUCAGCAAGGAAGAGUGAGAUAAGGGCCAGGCAGUGCCCCACAACAGCAUCAUCCCAAGGAGCAAGGAGCCCCCAAGCUCAGUCUAAGAUGUCUCAAGUUCGGCUCUCCUGGCCUUUGCACAGGCUGUGCCCUCCAGUGGGGAAUCACUUUCCCCCUCCUGGCCAUGAGUGUAGCACAUCCUGUUAUGAUUAUGUGCCUCCUCCACUCAACAGCCAGCUCCUUCUGGUCAGGGGCGUCUUGUCUGUGGAGGUGACCAUGGUGCUGACCGCAGUGCUGAGCAUGUAUGGGCACAGGUGGGGCAGGGAAGGAAAUGUCAGUGCAGUGAAUGAACGCACAGGAGGCUCCCUCUGCCCCAGCUCCCUUCCUGCCUGCACUCCCUGCCCCUCAGUCUCAUACCCUAUGGAGCGUCCUUCCCGCGUCAGCUCAAUAUCACAUCCUCACCAGAGCUUCUUCCGCCUCCUGGACAAGAUCAGCUCCCCAGGUAGACUCUCUUGAGAUACCUUGUAAUUUCCCUUCAUAGGACCUACCAAAUUUAUUGUUAACUGUGUGCUCUCCCACCCCUUCAGAUUGUGAGCUCCAGGAGGGUAGGGAGGGGGCUGUUUUGUCACCACUGUGUCCCCAGCACACAGCAGGGUACCCAGCACAGCUGAAUGUCAGUGAAUGAAUAACUAAACAGAUGGUCUUUCUAAUGCCUGGGAAAUUCCCAAACUUUGCUCAAAACCUUGUUUCAGGAAGGAUUCCUAGGCUCUGCGGGCAGAGUUCCUCCUUUCUCUGGGUUCCCAUAGCACCCUGCAUAUACCAGCAAUAGCACCGUGCAUAUACCCUGCAUAUAGGGGCCAGCUGUAAGUUGUGGUUUAUGUGUCCUUCUAACCAAUUAGGAUAUAGCUCCUUGAGAGCAGUCAUGGUGUCUUACUCAGCUUUGCAUUCUGAGCACUUAGCAAAGGGCUGGGCUUUGUCAGUGCUCCAUACUGGACUGCAGUAGUAGUAAAAACAAUUGUACCUAUCUCUAGGUUAGAUAAGCAUUAUUUCUGUCAAGAGAAUGGGCUCUCAGCCACUAACGUAGCUCUCCCCACUUCUCCCCAGCAAAGGGACACCUAGAAAUGAUGACCCCAGCUGUGGCCAUGCCUCCUCAGCACUGGCUGAGGCUGGAGGGCAGUGUUGUAAGGAAAUGUUACAUUAGGUGGAUCCUUCAUAAUUUUCGUGAAUCAUGUGAAGAGGGUAUAUCUUUUCCAAUAAAGAGGGACCAAUGCAGUGUUUAAUCUGGUGACUGCUACCUUUGUCUCUGAGCUGGACCAGCAUCCCUUUGCUCCCAAGAGUCACAGUAGCUUCUUGAGCAGUACCAGGGCCUUCCAUUCUGAUAGUCCUGUGUGGUUAGCCAGAACCUCUCCCAGAUGUGUCAGGUCUCAUGCAAUGAACCUACACCUACUUUCACAGCAUCCAAUGACUUGUAGUCAACUCGCUUAUUUCCCCCUCUGCUUCUCCUUUGUAAAAUGGGAGGAUGUUGCCUUUGGAGGGCUGUGGACUGGAAGUCUUGAAUAUCUUCCCCAAACACUGAUGAAAUUCUAUUCACAUCCUACCCAGUGGUUCCCAAGUCCCUUUAUCCUGGGGAAGGCCAUGGUUCUCUCUGUGAUCACGCAGGAUGCUCCACACCUUGGCCCCUGAAGUUGCCAAAUGGUUAUCACACCUGAGACUCCAAGAGGGAGCUGCCCCAAGUGAGGGCUGGACCCAGUCUGGUGAGCGUCAGGCAGGGAGGAGGCUUCCUAUUUAUUUGCCAAACCCAGAUGAUACAGGGCCAAGGACCAUUCAAGAAACGAAGGAGCUCAGGGCAGAUGGGUGGUUUGCUUUUGAGAAGAACCUGCCCCGUUGCUCAUUUCCUCCAUCCCUCUGUCACCACGAAGCUGCUCACUAUCUCUGCUUUAGGUAUCAUCCAACCAUCAUCCUCCCCACAUAGCUCUGGUGCCAGGAAAGUGGCCUUCCCCAGCUCGCUAGGGCAUCCCCCUUCUCUGUCUGUCUGUGUGCCACUGGAUUGUGGCCCUAACUCGACUUAUCCCCUCCCCAUCCCAUCCCCCCACUGCUGCACAAACUAUAUCUCACCUAAGAUGCUUGCUUCCUUCAUAUUUUUUUCAGUAAGGCCCAAGACUCUUUAUAGAGGUGGCCAAGGAGGUGGUUACUUGUAAGUAAGGAGAACUCUCGAUAUUUGCCUUUUCAAGGCCUUUUUGUUUCUGUUAUUUGAUUUUAUCCUCUGGCCGUUCAACAAAGGGCACUGAUCUUGUCACCAUUUGACGCAUGGGGGGUGGAAGAACAAAAAGGGUUUUGUGGUUUGUCUGAGGAGUAUAGACCAUUUGGAAUGCACCUGGAUUCACUCAUGCCACAUGCAGCCCAACUCUCAACCACAGGGAUUUGUUUAUGUGUGAAGAUGAUUUCUCCAGCUGCUGAAACCGCCAGAGGCAUGGAAUCAGGAUUGUUAAGUAGUUCCACAAGGUGUCUUGCAAAGGUAGGUCAUUCAAAAAAUUGUCAGAGAUCCAUUUAUUCCAUUCAUUUAGUUCUUAAAUAGAUACUGGGCACUCGCCAUGCAGAUCAGAUGGGGAGCAAACAUGGGCAGUCUCUGUUCUGCAGAGCUUACAGUCCGUCUCCUGGGGGAGACUGAGUUCAUCAAAUUGUAACCAAAUAAAUGUAAAAUAAUAACAGCAACAAGUACGACAAAGGAUAUACCCUGGAGGACUACAUAAUCGGGGAUUUGUUCCAACGUGAAGGGGAGGAAUGCUUUCCUGAGGCAGGGAUGGUCAGGACCAAACAUGAAUAGGACCAAACCAGGCAAGGGAGCGUCAUGUGCAAAGGCCCUGUGGUGAGAUGAAGAACAUGUGUUUGAGGAACAAGGUGAAGGCUACUGAGGCUGGAGCCCAGAAACAUGGGAAAGAGCAGCAUGAAAUGCAGCUGAAGAGGUGGGUGAGGGGUCUUCCUGGAGCUUCCUAUGCCAUAACAGGUCGAACAUCUGCUAUUUCUUUGUGCCACACGUGACAUAAUUUGCCAAGGAAUUUGUUCAAGAUAAUACAGGCCAGUUACAACUCUCUCUUUGCUCUUUUAUACCUCACUUCUCAGUAGUUAAAAUUCAAAUCCCUUCUCCAUUUAUGUAAAAUAUUUAUCACUGGAAAGGAGGGAGAGGCUACAUGUUCUUUUUCUUUGUUUGCAUUGGUAACUUCAGGCAGAAAGCAUGAGUUUCAAGGCCACCCAAAUCCCCCUGCUGGAGUCUCCAAUAGACCAUCUGAGGGUCUGGAUCAAGCCUAUUGAAAGGUGCACACUGGAUGUUUAAGUUUCAAGUGCGUGAAACCAGACAUUGAAACUGUUCAUUAAAAACUCCUCUGUUCAAGCAGACGAAGAAUCAUUUCAGAAGCUCUAUAAUGAAUGUACCAGUGGGUGCAGGUUAUCUUGUCAAACACAAUAAUCAUGAGUCAGUGUGAACGGAUGCUGCUUGUAUUUGAUUUUGUCUUUCACUGGAGCUUGCUGAUGGCUGUUUAUGACCCUCCACCUCCCCCAGUGGGUGGGAGGACCUGGUCUUUUGCUUUGGGGUCCCGUCUGGCCAGGGCUGAGGUAGGGAUGAUGUGGAAAUGUGAGAAGCAUCCAGUCAGGGCAUAAGAUGGAGAGAGUGAAAUGAAAUUAACCACAUGCGGGCACAUUCACAUGACCCAUGCACAGUGACAGCUGGGGUGUUGGUGGAGGUUGUAGAGGGGUUUCCACAGCUGGAGAGGGCCAGUAACUGCUCAACUCCAGAGCUAUUAAGUGGCAAAACCAGGGUUCUAAGUGGAUCUUUUGAACCCACAUUGAAAACUUGCUCCUCAGUUCCAUAGCUGGUGUUCCCACAUUGACUGUCCAGCUACAGAGUAUAGUUUAACAGCCGUCUCCUCAGUGCUGUGUUAGUCACCAAAAACACGAGGCAGUGGUUCUGGGAAAAGAUGUGCUUUCAACCCGGAAGGGCAGACAAACACAUAUUUGGUUGGAAGCAAAGCUCUGUAAGCAUAUCUUGAAGAGUCAACAGGAUCAGAGCGUUUCUCCUGUUUGGUGUAGCCCAAUGAGAAUGCCCAGCAUCCCCAUUUCCCUAUUGAAGGAAGAUCCAAGGUCCAUGUAUUGAUUUCACUAGCCUGUGGGGGCCCAAUACAAAGUUCCUGCAAGGGAGUAGCAGGAACAACAGCAACAACACUUCUCAUCAUUAAUUCACCAUCUUUCCCCAAAAGGUUGGAGUUUUAACUCCAAAAAACCUGGAAAGGACAUUGUCUUUGAAUGAGGAAUAAUUUUUUGCUUGAAACAUAUUUAGCUUCAUGAAAAUGUAUUUCCUCCAAUUGGACACAGACCAGUGAAAACCAAAACAGAUACCUGGCCACACUGUUUACUGGCUGGCCUGGGGAAGCUGCUAGUAUAGCAAAGGGAUGACUGUACUUGAUUUGACAGAAACCUUUGAGUUAAACCAACUGGGGGACUGGUUUAUUAUGUUUAGAGAUUCACUUCUUCACCCAUCUUUUCAAGGUGAUCAGUCACAGGGACCUGAGUUUCCUUAAUUUCAGGAUGGAGAAGAGACAGACUUGUCUGGCUGGAGAUUCUAAAACCCUGGCCUUGACAAUUUUCUCAGGCUGCCUCUGGGGAGGGACCCAAAUGGACAUGCGCUACUGUGGCUGGGGUGGGAAGAGCAAGCCCCAUGUUAGCAUCUUUCACAGUCAGCUUAUUUGGAAUAAAUGGAAGAAAUCCUUUGCAAAGGUAAGACUCUGAGGCCUCAAGAGUCAAAAAAGCAACAUGUUAAUUAGCCUUUUCUCCAGGAUCCAGCCUGAUGGUGACGACCCUCUAAACUUCAUUAUUUCCAUUUAGGAAAUCCUUAAGGGAAGCCUCUUUAGACAGAUGAUCUGGACAGAUGAUUGUGCAAUGGGCCUCCUACUGCCUUCUCUAUAAUACCCUUCAUUUCCUUCAUAUAUUAAAAAAUGAUAAAGAAAAACCUUUAAGUCAUUCCUAUCAUCCCAGCAAUAUUAAAUCUUAAAUUUCCCCCUCGUGCCUUUUGGAGUUUAAUAGUUGCGUAAUAUUCCAUUGUCAACAUCCCGUAAUUUUUUCAGCCAUCCCCAAUUACUGAACAUUAGGCUCCUUCUGGAAUUUUGUGUGCGUGCAUGUGAUUAGAUUUGAUCAUUAAGAUAGUGCUGCCGUUUGUGUGGCUUUUUGCUUCUGUCAGAUAAUUUCUUUGGUAUACAUUCCUGGGAGAAGGAUUACUGGGUCAGAGUAAGCGUAUCUUUAUGAUUCUUGUUACACACUGCCUUAUUUCUUUCAGGAAGAAUUAUGCUGAUUUAACUCAGUGCCUAUAGCAUCUGAGUCUAUCAGUUUCUUUGCAGCCUGACCAGCAUUAGGGUAUUAUUUAGUUAGAUGAAAAUACCACCUCUUCAGAGUUGCUUUCAUUUACAUUUUUUAUUACUAGCAGGAAUGAACACUUUCCCACAUGUUCGCUUAUCAAGUACUGCCUAUUAAUGACGUUUUAGGGCCACAUGUGGGUGCAGGAAAUAUGGAUGGGAAACUUCACUCAUAGUUGGAGGGCAGAUGGCAGCUGUGGAUGAGUCUGUAUAAAAUAAAAGUGUAAUAAAACUUGAAAUGAUUUCUGUGACAUGGAGGGGCUACUUAUCACAUGACCGCCUUUCCAGUUUUAAAAAAAAUAGAUGGGAGUUCCUGUUGUGGCUCAGCGGGAACAAACCCAACUAGGAACCAUGAGGUUGCAGGUUCAAUCCCUGGCCUUGCUCAGUGGUUUAAGGAUCCAGUGUUGCCCCGAGCUGUGGUGUAAGUUGCAGACGUGGCUCAGAUCUGGCAUUGCUGUGGCUGUGGUGUAAGCUGGAACUACAGUUCUGAUUAAACUCCUAGCCUGGGAACUUCCAUAUACCUCUGGUGCAGCCCUAAAAAGAC